UACGUAGGGUGCAAGCGUUGUCCGGAAUUAUUGGGCGUAAAGAGCUUGUAGGCGGUUUGUCGCGUCUGCUGUGAAAUUUCGGGGCUCAACCCCGAACUUGCAGUGGGUACGGGCAGACUAGAGUACGGUAGGGGAGACUGGAAUUCCUGGUGUAGCGGUGAAAUGCGCAGAUAUCAGGAGGAACACCGGUGGCGAAGGCGGGUCUCUGGGCCGUAACUGACGCUGAGGAGCGAAAGCAUGGGGAGCGAACAGG
rnacentral:rRNA from 1 species